AGUGAACGCUGGCGGUAGGCCUAACACAUGCAAGUCGAACGGCAACACAGUAAGAGCUUGCUCUUACGGGUGGCGAGUGGCGGACGGGUGAGGAAUACAUCGGAAUCUACUUUUUCGUGGGGGAUAACGUAGGGAAACUUCCGCUAAUACCGCAUACGACCUACGGGUGAAAGCAGGGGAUCUUCGGACCUUGCGCGAUUGAAUGAGCCGAUGUCGGAUUAGCUAGUUGGCGGGGUAAAGGCCCACCAAGGCGACGAUCCGUAGCUGGUCUGAGAGGAUGAUCAGCCACACUGGAACUGAGACACGGUCCAGACUCCUACGGGAGGCAGCAGUGGGGAAUAUUGGACAAUGGGCGCAAGCCUGAUCCAGCCAUACCGCGUGGGUGAAGAAGGCCUUCGGGUUGUAAAGCCCUUUUGUUGGGAAAGAAAAGCAGCAGGUUAAUACCCCGCUGUUCUGACGGUACCCAAAGAAUAAGCACCGGCUAACUUCGUG
rnacentral:rRNA from 1 species